ACUGAUACGGUCCUGUCAAAAAAAAAUGAAACGAAAAAUUUUCAUGUUUUGAGCUUAUUCAUCGCUUGGUUUCACUACAUUCAACAGAAACUGCACAAUGUUGUAUAUAAGGAAUCAAAGACAAGCUAUGCGUAACUUUGAAAACGUCAGUAUUUCAACAAGGACGAAAUUUAUGGCACGUUUAACUUCCAAUUAGCCCGUAUUGUUUUUUUGGCUAGCGAAAGUAAUGAAUUGAGGCAAUGUCGAGUAGUAUUGCACAACCUAGUAUUUGAUCCUGUGCGCUACAUAAUGAAUCCUAAUAAAUAAAACCUCAAUAAUCAAUCUGCUCAACCAACCGUCAAAAAAGGUUCAAUCAUUUCAAUUACUCAACGUGGCGCCAAGUAUGUCUCAUGAUUGUGUAUUCAUCUCACGACUUCAUUUCAUUUCUGUACCUUAUACACUCACUCAGCUACUUCAGGACUAGGUGUUGCGACACAAACGAGAAACCAUGCGCUGGACAUCAUUCAUGGGCCGAAACCGAUGUUAGCUUAUUGAGCAACCCUAAAAUCCGGGAAAACUUGUGAUCCAUCAAAGUAGAUAGAGCUGACAAUGUGGAAUAACUCAUAUGAAAAUUCAGACAUUGUUUGCCGUUUACGAUAUCUCUCGCUAUGUGGAAUUGAUCCGUUCGGUAAGUAAAGCAGUGCAACGUGAAUAGCAAAUUAUCACCUGUGGGUGGUGAGUAAAUAAACAAACGCCUAAGAAUGAAAAAAAUUUUUGCAGGUGGUUCAAGUCAGGAUGCUAUAAUGCAACAUCUUGUGAAUCAACGUCGCAUAUCGUAAUGGCUACAGCAAGGAAAUCCCGGAGGAGAUAGUUUUAUUAACCAACGUGUCGGACCGCAAUAUUAACGCCGAAGAGCAGUUGUAUGAGUAUGUUCCUAAACGGUAAUAGUAAAAUUACUUUAUUCACCGAUUUGUAACAAAGCACACUAGUUAUGGUAGGUUCACGAGCCGCUAUUAGGUUACAAGCUACUGUCAGGUUAGAGCCAUUGUAAGGUUAUAAGUUACAGUUGGGUUAGAGCUUGUUGUAAGGUUAAAACCAGUGAACCAUAGUGUAGUAAGAGAUGUUAAUAUGUUAGAGCCAUUGCUAGUGUGUAGCUAAAUUCGCCCUAGGCACGUUGCUCAUGUAGAGGAAGACACGAAACACGGAUGAGAUUCAAUUGUUCUACACUUAAUUGCAU